AUUCACGCUGGCGGCGUGCCUCAUCCCUGCCAGUCGAGCGAACGGACGAGAAGCUUGCUUCUCUGAUGUUAGCGGCGGACGGGUGAGUAACACGUGGAUAACCUACCUAUAAGACUGGGAUAACUUCGGGAAACCGGAGCUAAUACCGGAUGAUAUUUUGAACCGCAUGGUUCAAAAGUGAAAGACGGUCUUGCUGUCACUUAUAGAUGGAUCCGCGCUGCAUUAGCUAGUUGGUAAGGUAACGGCUUACCAAGGCAACGAUGCAUAGCCGACCUGAGAGGGUGAUCGGCCACACUGGAACUGAGACACGGUCCAGACUCCUACGGGAGGCAGCAGUAGGGAAUCUUCCGCAAUGGGCGAAAGCCUGACGGAGCAACGCCGCGUGAGUGAUGAAGGUCUUCGGAUCGUAAAACUCUGUUAUUAGGGAAGAACAUAUGUGUAAGUAACUGUGCACAUCUUGACGGUACCUAAUCAGAAAGCCACGGCUAACUACGUG
rnacentral:rRNA from 1 species